rnacentral:rRNA from 1 species
GACGAACGCUGGCGGCGUGCUUAACACAUGCAAGUCGAACGGGGUAGAGGUUUUCGGAUUUCUACUUAGUGGCGAACGGGUGAGUAACGCGUGAGGAACCUGCCUUUCAGUGGGGGACAACAGUUGGAAACGACUGCUAAUACCGCAUAAUGUAUCUGGGCCGCAUGGACUGGAUACCAAAGCUUUAUGUGCUGAAAGAUGGCCUCGCGUCUGAUUAGCUGGUUGGUGAGGGUAACGGCCCACCAAGGCGACGAUCAGUAGCCGGACUGAGAGGUUGAACGGCCACAUUGGGACUGAGAUACGGCCCAG